UACGUAGGGUGCGAGCGUUGUCCGGAAUUAUUGGGCGUAAAGAGCUCGUAGGCGGCUUGUCACGUCGGCUGUGAAAACUCGGGGCUUAACCCCGAGCCUGCUUCUGAUACGGGCAGACUAGAGGUAUGCAGGGGAGAACGGAAUUCCUGGUGUAGCGGUGAAAUGCGCAGAUAUCAGGAGGAACACCGGUGGCGAAGGCGGUUCUCUAGCUUAGACCUGACGCUGAGGCGCGAAAGCAAGGGGAUCAAACAGG
rnacentral:rRNA from 1 species